CGGAGGCAGAGAAUUGCUUGAACCCGGGAGGCGGAGGUUGCAGUGAGCCGAGAUGGCAACUGCACUCCGACAGAGUCUCAAAAAAUAUAUAUAUAUAGUAUUGUGGAUACGUACUUUUAAAAAUCCUUACGUUUUAGAGAUACAAAAAUAUUUAUGAAUAAAAUGAUAUGACGCCUGGGUUUUGCUUCAAAACGAUGGUGGGAGAGGAAUGUGGAUGAAAUAAAAUUGAUUAUGAGUUGUGGUUGCUGGGGAAUUGGGGUCACGGGGGUUCAUUAGAACCUCCUAUCAGAUGUGGUUCAGAAGCCUCAGACCUGGGAGCUGGCUAGAAAUGCAGAAUCUCGGCUCCACCCCAAACCUACUGAGUCAGGAUCUGUAUUUUAAUCAAAUAAAAUGCCCAGGGGAUUCCUGAGCACACUGAAGUGUGAGAAGCGCUGGCUUACUCUGUUCAAUUCUUUCCUGCAUGUUUGACAUUUUCC
rnacentral:lncRNA from 1 species